rnacentral:rRNA from 1 species
GAUGAACGCUGGCGGCGUGCCUAAUACAUGCAAGUCGCGCGAACGGACGAGAAGCUUGCUUCUCUGAUGUUAGCGGCGGACGGGUGAGUAACACGUGGAUAACCUACCUAUAAGACUGGGAUAACUUCGGGAAACCGGAGCUAAUACCGGAUAAUAUUUUGAACCGCAUGGUUCAAAAGUGAAAGACGGUCUUGCUGUCACUUAUAGAUGGAUCCGCGCUGCAUUAGCUAGUUGGUAAGGUAACGGCUUACCAAGGCAACGAUGCAUAGCCGACCUGAGAGGGUGACCAGCCACACUAGAACUGAGACACGGUCCAGACUCCUACGGAAGGCAGCAGUAGGGAAUCUUCCGCAAUGGGCGAAAGCCUGACGGAGCAACGCCGCGUGAGUGAUGAAGGUCUUCGGAUCGUAAAACACUGUUAUUAGGGAAGAACAUAUGUGUAAGUAACUGUGCACAUCUUGACGGUACCUAAUCAGAAAGCCACGGCUAACUACGUG